rnacentral:rRNA from 1 species
GGUUAAGCGACUAAGCGUACACGGUGGAUGCCCUGGCAGUCAGAGGCGAUGAAGGGCGUGCUAAUCUGCGAUAAGCGCCGGUAAGGUGAUAUGAACCGUUAUAACCGGCGAUACCCGAAUGGGGAAACCCAGUGUGAUUCGUCACACUAUCAUUAACUGAAUCCAUAGGUUAAUGAGGCGAACCGGGGGAACUGAAACAUCUAAGUACCCCGAGGAAAAGAAAUCAACCGAGAUUCCCCCAGUAGCGGCGAGCGAACGGGGAGGAGCCCAGAGCCUGAAUCAGCAUGUGUGUUAGUGGAAGCGUCUGGAAAGGCGCGCGAUACAGGGUGACAGCCCCGUACACA